AGACCCGAAACCCGGUGAUCUAGCCAUGGGCAGGUUGAAGGUUGGGUAACACUAACUGGAGGACCGAACCGACUAAUGUUGAAAAAUUAGCGGAUGACCUGUGGCUGGGGGUGAAAGGCCAAUCAAACCGGGAGAUAGCUGGUUCUCCCCGAAAGCUAUUUAGGUAGCGCCUCGUGAAUUCAUCUCCGGGGGUAGAGCACUGUUUCGGCUAGGGGGCCAUCCCGGCUUACCAACCCGAUGCAAACUGCGAAUACCGGAGAAUGUUAUCACGGGAGACACACGGCGGGUGCUAACGUCCGUCGUGAAGAGGGAAACAACCCAGACCGCCAGCUAAGGUCCCAAAGUCAUGGUUAAGUGGGAAACGAUGUGGGAAGGCCCAGACAGCCAGGAUGUUGGCUUAGAAGCAGCCAUCAUUUAAAGAAAGCGUAAUAGCUCACUGGUCGAGUCGGCCUGCGCGGAAGAUGUAACGGGGCUAAACCAUGCACCGAAGCUGCGGCAGCGACACUGUGUGUUGUUGGGUAGGGGAGCGUUCUGUAAGCCUGUGAAGGUGGCCUGUGAGGGUUGCUGGAGGUAUCAGAAGUGCGAAUGCUGACAUAAGUAACGAUAAAGCGGGUGAAAAGCCCGCUCGCCGGAAGACCAAGGGUUCCUGUCCAACGUUAAUCGGGGCAGGGUGAGUCGACCCCUAAGGCGAGGCCGAAAGGCGUAG
rnacentral:rRNA from 1 species